rnacentral:rRNA from 1 species
AUUGAACGCUGGCGGCAUGCUUUACACAUGCAAGUCGAACGGUAACAGGUUAAGCUGACGAGUGGCGAACGGGUGAGUAAUGCAUCGGAACGUGCCCGGUCGUGGGGGAUAACGCAGCGAAAGCUGCGCUAAUACCGCAUACGAUCUGAGGAUGAAAGCGGGGGACCGUAAGGCCUCGCGCGAUCGGAGCGGCCGAUGUCAGAUUAGGUAGUUGGGGGGGUAAAGGCUCACCAAGCCGACGAUCUGUAGCUGGUCUGAGAGGACGACCAGCCACACUGGGACUGAGACACGGCCCAGACUCCUACGGGAGGCAGCAGUGGGGAAUUUUGGACAAAGGGCGCAAGCCUGAUCCAGCAAUGCCGCGUGCAGGAAGAAGGCCUUCGGGUUGUAAACUGCUUUUGUACGGAGCGAAAAGGUCUUCCCUAAUACGGGAGGCUGAUGACGGUACCGUAAGAAUAAGCACCGGCUAACUACGUGCCAGCCGCCGCAGUAACAC